AUAAAAUAGGGGAAGAUGGUGGAGCUGGAUACCAAGUCUGUGCUGUUUGUGUGUCUGGGUAACAUUUGUCGAUCACCCAUUGCAGAAGCAGUUUUCAGGAAACUUGUAACUGGUUAAAACAUCUCAGAGAAUUGGGUCAUUGACAGUGGUGCUGUUUCUGACUGAAACUUGGGCCAGUCCCCAGACCCAAGAGCUGUGAGCUGCCUAAGAAAUCAUGGCAUUCACACAGCCCAUAAAGCAAGACAGAUUACCAAAGAAGAUUUUGCCACAUUUGAUUAUAUACUAUGUAUGGAUGAAAGCAAUCUGAGAGAUUUGAAUAGAAAAAAUAAUCAAGUUAAAACCUGCAAAGCUAAAAUUGAACUACUUGGGUGUUAUGAUCCACACAAACAACUUAUUAUUGAAGAUUCCUAUUAUAGGAAUGUCUCUGACUUUGAGACAGUAUACCAGCAGUGUGUCAGGUGCUGCAGAGAGUUCUUGGAGAAGGCCCACUGAAGCAGGUUCAUGCCCUGCUGUGGCCAGCCUCACUAGACCCCACUCUGAGGCCCUGUGUUUCUCAGUCAGUGUGUAAUAAUGUUCCAGAGUCCAAAGCCCCAGCUCUUUGUUCAGUUAACUUACUGUUUCUUACCUUGAAAAAUAAUUGUAGAUGGAAGUCAGUUGUGUUUGGUAGAAGAGUAAAUAAAAACCUUUGAUUCAGACAGUUUAUGGGGUGUAUUAAGCAUUCUUAGGCUAGUUGAACAUCUCACUUUGCCCCAAUUACAAAAAUAGUUGAACAAACAACAUAAAAUAUAAUGAAGGAAAACCUCACUUGAAGGCCCAGGUCAACAUCUAAGCCCACUGAGACUUAGAUCGUCGAGUCUACCUCUUCAGUAGGUGUGUAUGGAUGGCCUGAUAGAGGACAGGUGCCCUCUGCUCCCCUGCACUACCUCUCCUUUCCCCAGGGCCUUUUAUGGAUUCACAGUAGCCCCUCUGUGGGAGCUCACGGUAUAGAUUAGAAGUGUUUUAAUUUAUACACACCUGUAGUGCACACUUGUAUAUUGAAAAGAUAGAGAAGACAGAAAGAUUUAUGGAAUCAGUCAUUAGCACCUUUAAUACUUCUUGAUUUUGUCGAGUUUACUUCAUGAGGAGGUCAGCUCAUUUGUUCUCAUCUGAACCACUUUGCCUCUGAAACUUAAUUCCUCCAGAAAGAAGGACACUUGUAUGCUAGUCUGUCUGCAGUCAGCUGAGGAAUACGACUUUUGUAUGCACAUGUAACCCAAAUGUCCAAUAUAAAUUGGCUUAUUUUUAAAAAUAAUUUUAAAAGUUGGGAAAAGUUUUAUUUGGCAUGCAUAAAUAUUGAUUAUUAAGUAUUCUUCAUCAGCAUUUAAUAAAUGUAUAGGCAGAUACAGGUAAUUUUUGUAUAUUUUGAGAUAAUGUCAAAAUCAUAUAUAUUUCAAAAUAAACAGGGGGUUACAAAAAUACAGCUAAAGAUAU